UCCUACGGGAGGCAGCAGGGGGGAAUCUUGCACAAUGGAGGAAACUCUGAUGCAGCGAUGCCGCGUGAGUGAAGAAGGCCUUUGGGUUGUAAAGCUCUUUCGUCGGGGAAGAAAAUGACUGUACCCGAAUAAGAAGGUCCGGCUAACUUCGUGCCAGCAGCCGCGGUAAU
rnacentral:rRNA from 1 species